AUUGAACGCUGGCGGCAUGCUUUACACAUGCAAGUCGAACGGUAACAGGCCGCAAGGUGCUGACGAGUGGCGAACGGGUGAGUAAUGCAUCGGAACGUGCCCAGUCGUGGGGGAUAACUACUCGAAAGAGUAGCUAAUACCGCAUACGAUCUAUGGAUGAAAGCGGGGGACCGUAAGGCCUCGCGCGAUUGGAGCGGCCGAUGUCAGAUUCGGUAGUUGGUGGGGUAAAGGCUCACCAAGCCAACGAUCUGUAGCUGGUCUGAGAGGACGACCAGCCACACUGGGACUGAGACACGGCCCAGACUCCUACGGGAGGCAGCAGUGGGGAAUUUUGGACAAUGGGCGCAAGCCUGAUCCAGCAAUGCCGCGUGCAGGAAGAAGGCCUUCGGGUUGUAAACUGCUUUUGUACGGAACGAAACGGCUCUGGUUAAUACCCGGGGCUAAUGACGGUACCGGAAGAAUAAGCACCGGCUAACUACGUG
rnacentral:rRNA from 1 species